rnacentral:rRNA from 1 species
GACGAACGCUGGCGGCGUGCCUAAUACAUGCAAGUCGAACGCAGUGGGGACGGCUGAGUAACACUUGGUUAACCUCCCAUCAACGGUGAUAACACUUGGAAACAGGUCCUAAACCAUUACUGAUGUUUGGUCCCCCGGUGCAUUAGCUAGUUGGUGAGGAAACGGCUCACCAAGGCAACGAUGCAUAGCCGAGCUGAGAGGCUGAUCGGCCACACUGGGACUGAGACACGGCCCAGACUCCUACGGGAGGCAGCAGUAGGGAAUCUUCGGCAAUGGACGGAAGUCUGACCGAGCAACGCCGCGUGAGUGAAGAAGGUUUUCGGAUCGUAAAGCUCUGUUGUUAGAGAAGCGGUAACUAACCAGAAAGGGACGGCUAACUACGUGCCAGCAGCCGCGGUAAUAC